GUCACACAGGCAGAGCACAGAUUUUUUUGAUUAUGUAGAUUUCUUUUCCUGCCGUAGUUUCAUAUGCAAAGCAUGCAGAGCCCCAUCCGUGCUAUCUCCUAAAGCAGUCAUUCUGAAACCCAAUCUGGGGACAGUGCAGACUAAAUAAAAUUUCAUUUUGAUUUGGCCUCCUGCUGCGAAUGGGACUGCUUUGUCUCAGCCGACAGAACGAGCGAGCCAGAAAGUUGAGUAAUGAAGACAUUGAGAUAAGAAGUGAUACGGAAACAGACAUAUGCGCCACAGAAAAACCACAAUCCAAGCUCAUGUUGAAAGAUGUGUUCCCAGAUUGGACUUUGGAAAUAAGUACCACCAAACCUCUCCAUGUUAAUUCUUCAAAUUAAAUGAGGGUAGUGUAACUAUGGGGCUUCCCAAGUGGCUCAGCAGUAAAGAAUCCGCCUGUAAUGCAGGAGACAAGUUCAAUGCAGUUCAAUCCCUGAGACAGGAAGACUCCCUAAAGUAGUAAAUGGUAACCCACUUCAGUAUGCUUGCUUGGAGAAUUCCUUGGACAGUGGAACCUGGUAGGCUACAGUCCACAGAGUCGCAGAGAGUCAGGCACAACUGAGCAUGCGUGCAUCGCACCUGUAUAUCACAAUCUCCAAUUCUGCCUUCUUGGAUGAAGCACCUAUGGUACACCAAGUGUGGAGCUUUGCAGAUGUAAGAACAGCAGCCCUGAACAGAGGAAAAAGAGGAGGAGGCCACCAAGGCUGGGUCCUGCGUCUUGUUUGAUGCUUCCUUUUUGUUCACAGCCAUCGGUGAGCUGGGGUAUCAGACCCCAUAGGAGGUUGCCUGUCUCUCUGCUUUCUCAGAGCUUGAAUUGAACCCUGGUCUGAUUGACUCCAAAGCAAGACUCAUUCACAGCCUGAGCUGGCCAGUGGGGAAAGGGAUAAUCAAGGCUCAAGUCCAGAUGCCCCAGUAGCAUGCUGCAGGCACUGGCAAAGAAGCAAUGCCACUGUACUGACUAAAGGAGACCACCCCUCAUCCCGAAUAUUCUUUUAAAACCAAGGAUGAGCUGCCAUAUGAGAUAUUACCUGACCAGCUCCUAUUGAGUCCUGAGUGAUCUGACUUUUCAGCAAGUAUUUUGUCCUGAACUCUAGAGAGUUAAGUAUUUUGUGCCCAUUUCACAGAUUUGAGAAAUGAAAUUCAUAAAGUAAAAUAUUUCUCCAAGGCUAGGAUGAAUGAAUUGCACAGCUGGAAAUGAGAGAAAAGCCAGGGGCACUUCCCCUGGUGGUGGUGGUGGGCCUCAGUCUUCCCUGGUCGCUGUGUUUGAUUCCCAAAGAGCCUUUGUAAGUUUGUGUGCUAUGAUCCUCUCAGUGACAUUUGAAAGUGAGAAGAACCAACUGU
rnacentral:lncRNA from 1 species